UACGAAGGGGGCUAGCGUUGUUCGGAAUCACUGGGCGUAAAGGGCGCGUAGGCGGCUUUAUAAGUCGGGGGUGAAAGCCUGUGGCUCAACCACAGAAUUGCCUUCGAUACUGUAGAGCUUGAGACCGGAAGAGGUGAGUGGAACUGCGAGUGUAGAGGUGAAAUUCGUAGAUAUUAGGAAGAACACCGGUGGCGAAGGCGGCCCACUGGAUCGGUACUGACGCUGAGGUGCGAAAGCGUGGGGAGCAAACAGG
rnacentral:rRNA from 1 species